rnacentral:lncRNA from 1 species
AUGGCAGAGAGAAAUGUUGCUACUAACUCUCCACUUGAGAGAACUAGUUUGGCUUAUCUAGAUCAGAGGAUGGCCAUAGCCAAGCGCUGUUCUCAUGAAGGUGUGAUGGCUGGAGCCAAGGCAGCUGUUGUUGCUACUAUUGCCACCGCCAUUCCAACUCUGGCUAGUGUUAGAAUGCUACCUUGGGCAAGAGCAAACCUCAAUCACACUGCACAAGCUCUCAUCAUUUCAACUGUGGCUGGAGCAGCAUAUUUCAUAGUAGCUGACAAGACCGUCUUGGCAACUGCAAGAAAGAACUCCUUCAACCGACCAUCCAAUGCAUGA